GAUGAACGCUGGCGGCGUGCCUAAUACAUGCAAGUCGAGCGAACGGACGAGAAGCUUGUUUCUCUGAUGUUAGCGGCGGACGGGUGAGUAACACGUGGAUAACCUACCUAUAAGACUGGGAUAACUUCGGGAAACCGGAGCUAAUACCGGAUAAUAUUUUGAACCGCAUGGGUCAAAAGUGAAAGACGGUCUUGCUGUCACUUAUAGAUGGAUCCGCGCUGCAUUAGCUAGUUGGUAAGGUAACGGCUUACCAAGGCAACGAUGCAUAGCCGACCUGAGAGGGUGAUCGGCCACACUGGAACUGAGGCACGGUCCAGACUCCUACGGGAGGCAGCAGUAGGGAAUCUUCCGCGAUGGGCGAAAGCCUGACGGAGCAACGCCGCGUGAGUGAUGAAGGUCUUCGGAUCGUAAAACUCUGUUAUUAGGGAAGAACAUAUGUGUAAGUAACUGUGCACAUCUUGACGGUACCUAAUCAGAAAGCCACGGCUAACUACGUG
rnacentral:rRNA from 1 species